GGGCCGUUAGCUCAGUUCGGUAGAGCAGCGGACUUUUAAUCCGUUGGCCAGGGGUUCAAAUCCCCUACGGCCCACCA
rnacentral:tRNA from 1 species